rnacentral:lncRNA from 1 species
GGCUCCUGGCCUACCAACAAGACCCAACUACAACACUAGAAAACCAAACACAGGCCCAUAUCCACUAACAAACAGAUGACGCAAAACAACUUGUUCAACUCAGGAGAAAAAAGGGACACGUGCAAAGACAAUAUCACCGUCUUCUUCCACCUGCGACUCGUCGCUGCAACUGAACCAAAAACCACCGGAAACCACCGGAAUCACACCGAAAACGCGAGCCACCAUCGAUUUCACCGACUUAAAAGUCGUUAUCGGAACAAACAGAUCACUUUAACUCCGGAAUUAACCGGGAACACGACCACAACCACCGAAAACCACAUCCAACGACUGUGUUGGAAGUUUUACGGAUUCAGCAUCUUUCCACACAUACGCCUAAGUUUUGGAUAGCAUCAAUCAAAUAAACUCAAGAUCUCAUCCAAACCCAGACCACCCAAUCACUAAAACGAAAAACGUCAUACAGCUCGAUCACUUCCGAGGAUUCGAUAGCCGGCAACCACCACCGAAGAAGAAACGGCACGGCCCCAGAAACAAAGCCAGUCAUCCACCAAACAAUCGGUGCGAUACUGGAACAAAAAAACUAAACAUACAGUACCGAAGAACCAACGAUACCGCAUGACGGACCGGAAACUAAACAAGAUAAACAGAACUGAAAUAAAAAGGAAGAAACCCGACCGACGACGUGGCUAAAGGAGCCCACCAUCGUCGGCCGAGAACUAUGCUCGGAGAUCGCUUAACUUUUUU